AACAUGCUAAAACCCUUCCAACAAGUUCAUUCAGAGAUUUCUCUGAAUAGUCAUAACCUACUGCUUCAAAGCUUGCAUAGCUGAACCCAUCUUCGGGGGUGACAUGGAUAGUGGAUAUUGCACUUCCUUCAAUUCCAUUCAUUGAGUACCCGCAAGGUUCAAAUUCAAAGUCACAAAUGUCAGAUUUUGGAAGGAUCUUCCUGAUUCCAGAAUUCUUGGUCAUCAAACCGGCUGAAGAUCCUUCUGUCUUGAAAAACACAGAUGCUUUUUCUUUAUCUAAACCAGUCAUGCACAU
rnacentral:lncRNA from 1 species